GAUGAACGCUGGCGGCGUGCCUAAUACAUGCAAGUCGAGCGAACAGACGAGGAGCUUGCUCCUCUGACGUUAGCGGCGGACGGGUGAGUAACACGUGGAUAACCUACCUAUAAGACUGGGAUAACUUCGGGAAACCGGAGCUAAUACCGGAUAAUAUAUUGAACCGCAUGGUUCAAUAGUGAAAGACGGUUUUGCUGUCACUUAUAGAUGGAUCCGCGCCGCAUUAGCUAGUUGGUAAGGUAACGGCUUACCAAGGCAACGAUGCGUAGCCGACCUGAGAGGGUGACCGGCAACACUGGAACUAAGACACGGUCCAGACUCCUACGGGAGGCAGCAGUAGGGAAUCUUCCGCAAUGGGCGAAAGCCUGACGGAGCAACGCCGCGUGAGUGAUGAAGGUCUUCGGAUCGUAAAACUCUGUUAUUAGGGAAGAACAAAUGUGUAAGUAACUAUGCACGUCUUGACGGUACCUAAUCAGAAAGCCACGGCUAACUACGUG
rnacentral:rRNA from 1 species